AUUAACGCUAGCGGCAGGCAUAAUACAUGCAAGUUGAACGGCAGCACAGGUAGCAAUACCGGGUGGCGAGUGGCGCACGGGUGCGUAACACGUAUGCAACCUACCCUAUACAGGCGAAUAACCUUUAGAAAUGAGGGCUAAUACGCCGUGGUAUUAUCUUGGGGCAUCUUGAGAUAAUUAAAGAUUUAUCGGUAUAGGAUGGGCAUGCGUCCCAUUAGUUAGUUGGUAGGGUAACGGCCUACCAAGGCUAUGAUGGGUAGGGG
rnacentral:rRNA from 1 species